UACGGGGGGGGCAAGCGUUGUUCGGAAUUACUGGGCGUAAAGGGCUCGUAGGCGGCCAACUAAGUCCGACGUGAAAUCCCCAGGCUUAACCUGGGAACUGCGUCGGAUACUGGUUGGCUUGAAUCCGGGAGAGGGAUGCGGAAUUCCAGGUGUAGCGGUGAAAUGCGUAGAUAUCCGGAGGAACACCGGUGGCGAAGGCGGCUUCCUGGACCGACACUGACGCUGAGUCGCGAAAGCUAUGGGAGCAAACGGG
rnacentral:rRNA from 1 species